rnacentral:rRNA from 1 species
ACUCGGAAUUACUGGGCGUAAAGCGUGCGUAGGUGGUUUGUUAAGUCUGCUGUGAAAGCCCCGGGCUCAACCUGGGAAUGGCAGUGGAUACUGGCAAGCUAGAGUGCGGUAGAGGGGUGUGGAAUUCCCGGUGUAGCGGUGAAAUGCGUAGAGAUCGGGAGGAACACCAGUGGCGAAGGCGGCACCCUGGACCAGCACUGACACUGAGGCACGAAAGCGUGGGGAGCAAACAGG